CUAGGUAGGAGCUUGCCCACGAAUUGAGACGCGUCCGUAAAUCCUUUAAUAUCCGCGCCCGGUAACUCGGUACUUGUGUGCAGUUUGUUUUUAUAAAAAUAAUCUUAUUAAAAGAUUUUUAAAUUAAAAAAAAAAAUUCGCGGCUUUUAUAACUGUAUCGCAUUCAUCGCUGCGUGUGAGCGUCCCGGGCGAGACGCCGUGCGCAGGCGGGGCCGCUCCCGCGGUUCUCCUGUUGCGUCGGCCGUCCGGAGGUCAUCGCGGAGCGGCAGAACCGGAAAAGCCGCCCCGCUCCCGCCGGAGAGGCGCCCGGCCGGCGAGUUCGUGUGGCGUGACGUUCUGAUGGAGAACAGCUACGUUUCAGUAAAAAUGUCCGGUUCCUGCGCGCAGCUGAUGUGCUGAGGAGGAAGGGAGAAGCGUCCCGGUUUAUGUCGGUGCAACAGGGCAACUGUCGCGGAGAAAGAAGCCCGAAAGAAUCCCGGAGAAGUGAAGGACAGUGGCUCGGAGUUGGGGGAAGGGAAGGCCAAUGGCGUUGGAUCGGAUGCCUGGCGGACCCGAGGAACUCUCCGCCCGUCGUCGGGACGCGAUAACCGCUCACGCGGACGGUGACUUUGGUGACUGGAGCGAUUUCAGCGGGAAGCUGGGAUGGGAGGGCGAUGGAGACGCUCCUGAUCUCCCAGCAGAGAGCCGUGACGAGAGGAGCCAUGGGACGCUUUUCCAGGAAUGCUUCCGAGCUCAGGACGUAGCGGAAGACCGCGACGGAGCAGCCACGCUGUCGGAGAUCCUGGAAAAUCGUGCGGCAGCCACACCGCUUCCGCCCGCCGUCAGCAGCGGAGCUGCUGAACUGUGGUGCCAUCUGCUUUCUGCACCGCACACGCCGAGACUGUCGGGGCCGAAGCCGAACCCGCACUCCCACACGCGGCUGCUCCGGACGCUCCCGCUGGACGAGGCGGCCACCUCGGAGGGCGUGACCCUCCCUGAGAUGGACCUCGAAGAAAACGAGGAUGCGCCACCUGCACUAAUACAGACAAAGCUGCUGGCGCCGCCCCGCUGCCGAGACGCCCCGCCGUUCCUGUACCAGGUGUCGCUGCAGUGGCUGAGGCAGAGUGGCAUCCACCGAAACCUCCUGCGCUGAAGCCCCGCCCAGGCGCCACUCAGAGGUCAAAGGCGCGGCACGUGGGGCCACUCGACCGCACUACUUGAAGCAAUGUGAAACAAGCAAGCAUGAGCAAUGCACCUUUUAAACGUGACUAUUUCAUAAAAAUCGUUACUUUUAUCAAACUUUGAUCAACAGAAGUGCCUCAUUGUUUUUAAAUUAAGUUUUUUUCUUCUUUUCUGAUGCCAAUAUUAUUAUGUUUGAAGAAGCAUUGAAUGAUAUGAAGAGACGUUUAGUAAAAUGUAGAUCCAGCAACUUUGGAUAAAAGUAAAUGUCAUUUUUGAUUGAUUGAUUGAUCGAUCGAUUCAUCUACCCUGUAGCAGCUCAGAUGUAUCACAUGCAGGUACAUAUUAGAGAACAGCAUUUUCAUGUUUUCAUUUUAAUCAAGUUCAUAAAUGUACAAAAUGACAGAGUUUGUUAUAAAUAGUCAAAAGUUUUCUAUAAAGGUUAUAUGAAUUUUAUCUUAAUUAUGGGGUUGAAAGCACAGAACACUGGAAAAUAUGCUGGACUGAGAAAUGCUGCUCUAAAUAAAAUUAUUAUGCUUAUUUAUGCA
ensembl:lncRNA uncharacterized LOC114801851